rnacentral:rRNA from 1 species
GAUGAACGCUAGCGACAGGCCUAACACAUGCAAGUCGAGGGGCAGCACAUGAGUAGCAAUACGAUGGUGGCGACCGGCGCACGGGUGAGUAACACGUAUGCAACCUACCUGUAAGAGGGGAAUAACCCGGAGAAAUUCGGACUAACACCGCAUAAUACCUCGAAGCUGCAUGGCUUUGAGGUUAAAUAUUUAUAGCUUACAGAUGGGCAUGCGUAACAUUAGAUAGUUGGUGAGGUAACGGCUCACCAAGUCAACGAUGUUUAGGGGUUCUGAGAGGAAGGUCCCCCACACUGGUACUGAGACACGGACCAGACUCCUACGGGAGGCAGCAGUGAGGAAUAUUGGUCAAUGGGCGAGAGCCUGAACCAGCCAAGUCGCGUGAAGGAAGAAGGUUCUAUGGAUUGUAAACUUCUUUUGUAUAGGGAUAAACCUUUCCACGUGUGGAAAGCUGAAGGUACUAUACGAAUAAGCACCGGCUAACUCCGUGCCAGCAGCCGC